rnacentral:lncRNA from 1 species
CCACCAUCAUCAUCACCAUCACAAUCAUCAUCAUCAUCCUCACUAGGGAAGGGUAAAAGGGUAGAUCUGCCUGCAGUGUCCUUUAAGCAUGCUGGCUGCAUAAAAAAGGUGAAAGGGAGACACAGAGAGGCCAGGUAGGUGUCUCUAUCAACUACUUUUCUCAUCGCUCUGACAAAAUGUCUGGCAAAGAAAACAGAAGGAAGGUGUGCUAGCUAGUUUAUGUCAACUCGUCACAAGCUGGAGUCAUCAGAGAGGAGAGAGCCUCAACUGAGAAAAAUGUCUCCGUAAAAUAGGGCUGUAGGUUUCUGCCUUGCAUGAGUUCCUGCCCUUGCUGAUUUUUGACGAUGAACUAUUACAUGGAAGUUACACAGAAAUAAACCAUUUCUACCAC